CAGUGAAGUAUGGAGGGGAUAUCAUUAAAGAGACAGGCUUUUGGUGUGGUUUAUGUUCCUCUGAAGUUGAUCCCCUUUUAAAUUAUUUCUGCCAUUAUGAGAAAGCUAGCAGGAUUCUUUCACUGAAAAGACAGGACAGAGCUGCAGAGAAGUUCUUCAGUCUUCAUGGGUGAAAGACGGAGAACAGGAGAGUUUUCUACAAGUCAUUUUCUCUUCUCCUGGAAGUGUUCUGCGGAAGCUGUUUGCAUCCCUUCGCCCUGUGCCAUCUCCCAACUCCCAAAUGACACUGAAGCCAAUGGUUAAACUAAAGUGGUGGCCAGCUGUUGGGAAUGUGGAUGGCUUCCUUGAUUCUUUGGCUAGGCGGGGCCUCACCAGUGGUCAAAAUCUGAAACGGGAAGAUGUAAUAUUCCCUCUCACACCAACAUUGCUAACCUGGACUGGAUGGAUACGGAAAAAGUCAGCAGGUUCCCAUCAAUUGUUGAGGACUAAGUCAAGCAUUAAAAUGUUCAAUUCUGGAUUUUCAGAGGACAUGUGCUCCAGCCCUGUGAUCCUCUUCGUCCCCCUCAUCUGAACCUGCUCCAACAGAUCCCCAUCUUUCCUGGGAUGAGGACCCCAGAGGUGGAUGCAGGACUCCAGGAGGGGUCUCACAAGAGUGGAGUAGAGGGUCAGAAUCACCUCCCUCGACCUGCUGGCCAGAUAUUGUCAGUUAAAACUUGUCAUGGGGUUUAUAUCAGCUUUCCAUAGAUACAGACAGUGACACACGUCAGAGGAGGGAGUGUUGAUUUUCUGCUUACAAAAAUACCACUAACUUACGGAGUCUGAGCAGUGUUUCCCAAACAAAGAAUUGACUCCACCCCAGCCUACAAAGAAAAAAUAAUUGAAGUCACAUUAUUUCUUCAAAUACUCGUGAUUCCAAAUGUUUGGUAACCAGCUGCCUGUUGUGGUAAUGCUCCUUCUUCUGCACAGAAUUUGUAUUCUAGACCUACAUGAAAUUAGUAUACAAAAUGAACGG